GAUGAACGCUGGCGGCGUGCUUAACACAUGCAAGUCGAACGGAAAGGCCCAAGCUUGCUUGGGUACUCGAGUGGCGAACGGGUGAGUAACACGUGGGUGAUCUGCCCUGCACUUCGGGAUAAGCCUGGGAAACUGGGUCUAAUACCGGAUAGGACCACAUUUUGGAUGGUGUGGUGGAAAGUUUUUCGGUGUGGGAUGAGCUCGCGGCCUAUCAGCUUGUUGGUGGGGUAAUGGCCUACCAAGGCGUCGACGGGUAGCCGGCCUGAGAGGGUGUACGGCCACAUUGGGACUGAGAUACGGCCCAGACGCCUACGGGAGGCAGCAGUGGGGAAUAUUGCACAAUGGGCGCAAGCCUGAUGCAGCGACGCCGCGUGGGGGAUGACGGCCUUCGGGUUGUAAACUCCUUUCGCUAGGGACGAAGCGCAAGUGACGGUACCUGGAGAAGAAGCACCGGCUAACUACGUG
rnacentral:rRNA from 1 species